rnacentral:hammerhead_ribozyme from 1 species
AUCCAGGUGAUGAGUCCCAAAUAGGACGAAACCUGCUUCCUGGAU